rnacentral:lncRNA from 1 species
GUUUAAGCUCCAGGUGUGACUAAUGCAUUACUGUUUUAUAUGUUAUAUUGUACUUUUUUAAAAUUUAUUUUGUGAUUUAUUUUGUAGGCAAGGUGUUUUUUUCACCGUUUAUCAUAUAUUCAAUUUACUGUAAUUUAUAUCUGUAACUCAUGAUUUUCUCCACCUGUUUUUCAGGAUCUGAAUCAGCUGUCACUGUAGUGGAGGUGGAGCUUAAUGGUACUGCUGUUCUGCCCUGUACUGAGAGCUGUUCUGGAGUGAUCAGCUGGACUCCCUCUCAUAAAUCCACUGAUAUUCUGGCUGAGUGUAAUCAGACUUCCUGCAGAUCAGUGAAGGAGGGAUAUCAGAUGAUCCAUGAUCAAUACCGGAAGGGGAAUCUCUUUCUGAUCAUCACUGAAGCUGGUUACAGUAAGAGAGGACGUUACACCUGUAAAUGUGAUGGUACAGAUCACUGUGCCGUGGAGCUUCAGAUUGAGCGUAAGUGAUUAUCUGAGUUAUUCACUGAUAGAAUCACAUUGAUUAGAUAGAAUUAAUUACAUUAUCAUUUCACUAAUGAUGAAGGUUGUGUUUUUCUACUCAGCUCCUAUCAUUCCAGUUGAGAUAAAGCCUGGUGAUUCUCUGGUGAUGGAGUUGGAUGUAUCAGAUCCAGUGGAGGUGAUUUAUAUCAGUACAGAAGCAGCUGGUCGAUCCAGUGGUCAGAUCUGUACAGUUAUUGGAGGAUCACUGCAGUGUAAAUCUAAAUAUAAACACAGAACAUCUCUACCAUCAUCAUCUGUUCUGGAGCUGAGAGGACUGAACAAGUCUGAUAGAGGAGUUUACAUCAUCCGGAACACCAAGAAUAAUGAGGAUAUUUACAUCUACACUGUGAUCAUGAGUGAAGGUUGGUCAUUACUGGAUAUAGGCCUGAUAAUUACAGGGGUUUUGCUGUUGGGAAUGCUGGGGGGAAUGUGUCUGGUGCUGGUGGUACAGUGGCUGAGCAAGAAAUGUGUACCUACUAAGAAGCAAAAUGACAGUAAUCAGGAGAUGACGGAGAUGAUUUGAGGAGAGAGAAAAAGGACGUGGGAACAAAUGAAGAAAGGACACAUUGAAAGUUGUAAAUGAUACAGAAAAGUUGCAGCAGAGAAAAGCUGAAACUGGAACAUUGUAUUAGCUCAUUAGUAAGGUAUACUAUGACCCGGACUGAAGGUAUUUUUUUUACUUAUAAAAAUCCAGCCAUCCUUAUCAAUAUUAAUGAUCAGAAAAAAACUCAAUUAAUCAAUCAAUUAAUAAACCUUUAUUUUUACUGCA